UUUUGGUUGCUGCAGAGUCCUGGGAAGC
rnacentral:piRNA from 1 species